rnacentral:rRNA from 1 species
GAUGAACGCUGGCGGUGUGCCUAAUACAUGCAAGUCGAGCGAACGGACGAGAACGUUGCUUCUCUGAUGUUAGCCGCGGACGUGAGAGUUACAUGUGGUGCACCCACCUCUAAGAUAGGGAUCACUUCGGGUAACCGUAGCUAGUACCGGAUAAGCUUUUCAUCCUGAUGGUUCAAAAGUGAUAGACGGUCUUGCUGUCACUUAUCGACGGAUCCGCGCUUCAUUAGCUAGUUGGUAAGGUAACGGCUCACCAAGUCAACGAUGCAUAACGGACCUGAGAGGGUGAGCGGCCACACGAGAGCUAAGACACGGUCCGGACUCCUACGAGAGGCAGCAGUAGGGAAUCUGCCACAAGGGGCGAAAGCCGGACGGAGCAACGACGCGUGAGGCAUGAAGGUCGUGGGCUCGAAAACCUCUGUUAUGAGGGAAGCACAUAUCUGUAGGGAACUAGGCACAUCUUGACGGUAGCAGAACAGAAAGCAACGGCUAACUACGUG